AAAAGAAAGUUUACAUGUUUAAAUUUCAUGCUGGGUGAUGAUUCAAAGGAUUUUGUGAUCACAUUGAAAUUCUUCCAUGUUUAAUUAUUGGAUUACAUGGUUAUUUGGAAACCGAAUAAGUUGUCUUUCUGUGUUCUGACUCGAGAAAAUUUUCGAGAUUGUUUAUUUAUUAUGCUGGUUUACAUGAAGGCAGGAGGCUCUUCUGGUACUGUAUUUGCAUGGGAUCUUUGGUGGCAACAGCAGCCAAUAGUUCUUUCUGGGGUUGCAGCAGGUGAGUUUCAGUCCCACUCAUUAUCUGAGAGUGAAAUUUGAGAGGUCCAGUAUGAUAGCUAUUCUUCAAACAUUGGUAACAUGUCAACAUCACAGGUGUUACCUGUUAUGAUCUGCUCAGAAGAUGGAAUCCUUGCUGUUGUUGAACAAGGUGAGGAACCCAUUGAACUCUUGGCUGAACCAUGUGCUAUCAACAGCUUUGACAUUGACCGACAGAACCCCUCGGUGAUGUGUUUUUUCUUCUCUCUUCCUCCUAUACUCAGUUUAUCUCAGAGACGAUGUGAUAUGUAGUUUAGAG